CCCUUAGAUGUCCUGGGCCGCACGCGCGCUACACUGAUGCAUUCAACGAGUCUACCUUGGCCGAGAGGCCUGGGCAACCUUUUAAACGUGCAUCGUGAUAGGGAUAGAUUAUUGCAAUUAUUAAUCUUGAACGAGGAAUUCCUAGUAAACGCAAAUCAUCAAUUUGCAUUGAUUACGUCCCUGCACUUUGUACACACCGCCCGUCGCACCUACCGAUUGAAUGGUCCGGUGAGGACUCGGGAUUUUACCAGUUUCCUUCAUUGGGAAUUGGUGAGGAGAACUUGUCCAAACCUUAUCAUUUAGAGGAAGGUGAAGUCGUAACA
rnacentral:rRNA from 1 species